GCCACGGACGCAGAUGAAGGCAUUAACGGGAGAGUGUGGUACAGGAUUGUCAAGGGAAACGAGCACAACCACUUCCGCAUCAACCCCAGCACGGGGCUGGUGAUGCGGGGAGUGCGGCACCUGGACAGGGAGCAGAACUCCUCCCACGUGCUGGAGGUGGAGGCCUACAACACGGAGCAGGGGCCCAUGAGGAGCUCCGUGCGGGUGAUCGUGUACGUGGAGGACGUCAACGACGAGGUGCCGGUGUUCACGCAGCGCCAGUACAACCGCCUGGGGCUGCGGGAGACGGCGGGGAUCGGCACCUCGGUGGCCGUGGUGCGCGCCAC